CGGCGUGUUGUUUUAACCUAAUAGCCUUGAACGCCGUCGUUUCGUCUCCGACGACAUUCACACGCGCACACUUCCACCCUUACCAUCUAUCCGUCUCACACGUGCGUCGGAUGCGAAACGGUGGUGUUCAGGGAUUUUUUAGGUUGCCGGAUUUUACC
rnacentral:pre_miRNA from 1 species